rnacentral:rRNA from 1 species
UACAGAGGGGGCAAGCGUUGCUCGGAAUUACUGGGCGUAAAGGGCGCGUAGGCGGGAUGGCAAGUCGGUCGUGAAAUCCUUCGGCUCAACCGAAGAACGUCGAUCGAUACUGCUGUUCUUGAGGGUUGCAGAGGAGACUGGAAUUCCCGGUGUAGCGGUGAAAUGGUGUAGAGAGUCGGGAGGAACGACCGGUGGCGAAGGC